GUUGGUUUUGCGGCGGACUUCCUGUUUGCCUCAGACGUAGCCUGGAUGCUGAAAGCAGGUUUUGGUUGUCCUGUUUCACUAUUCUCCAGUUUUUGGGAGAAACUGCAGAGAAAAGGAUUGCAGUCAGCCCCCAGCCCAGCAGCGCUGACGUCCAUCUCACCUGCACUUGUUCUGGUUCUGAUCCAAACAGUGGGUCCAAACAGCUCCCUCAUGCUGCCUGAGGCUUUGCUGUUAAACUGCUGACAGAUACGACUGCAGUGGAGUAAAAUGUUGCACAGUUACGUUUUAUUUAACAUCCAGUGCAGCCAAAAUAAAACUGUUCUAAGAAGCCGCGCUUAUCGCAGCCCCUCAGGGCGCCUGUGUUAAUCCCCGGGAAAAGAUGACAUCAAAUGGAAGCAGAGCAAAGGAUUAUGGGGGAUGUUGUGGCGCUUGAUCAGCUGCUGAGAACUGGAUGGAGGGGAAGGAAUCCUCCCCAGCAGAGAAGCUCAGCAGGGAGCGACGGCGGCGGGUCGCAGUGAGGAAUCCUUCUGCACCGAUUCCUGCAAGUCCUGGAUGGAAGCAGAUCAAAGCAUGAGAGAAAACAGCAACACGAGGUGAAGAGCCUCCGAAGAAAGCUGAAUCACUUUCCAUCAGCCGGAGACAGAAAAAGCUGCUUCUACAUCCUCCAGGCUAACAGGGAGCAUCUUGCUGAGAACAGAGGAGAGAGAGCACUUCAUAUUCAGAGCAUCGUGACUUUCUGCAGAGGCUGGAAGGUUAAAACCUGAUCGCUGCUAACCGAGCGAUGAAACUGCAUCUAUUUACGACGUCUGGAGAAAAAGAGCGUCAUCAAACAGGAGUCGGUCUGUAAUUUAUGUAACAGUGGACUUAACUUUAUUGUCUUUGCAGAGACACAACAGCGGAUUUAGCAACAAAACGUCAACACAGAGAAAUACUGAUAUAUAUAAGUGUUAAUGGUGCAGGUAGGAACGAAAUCUAGAAUAAAUAUACAAAUAACAUUGUUAAAUAUAUAUAACUUAGCCUUUUUAAACAGCCUAUUUAUUAAAUAUCUUAGUCAAACAUUAAAUAAAUAAACACUACGGCCACAUUUCUGUAUUAAAAUGUUUUCAGCUGUGACCUAAAAAUCAAGGCAUGUUAGUUCACACAAAAAUAAAAGCAUGAAAAUGUACAACAAAUAAAAUAAAUACAGUAAGGACAAAAUCAAAAACACCGUUCAAAUGUAGUGGGAUCAUUUAUUUGAUCAUUUUUGAAGACAAAUUACAAAAUGCUGAGGAAAUAUCAGCAGGGUGUGAAAACUUACUGAGGUUUUUACUCUCAGUCUCACUAAAUAAAACUGUUUCCUGACAUUUAAAACAAAAUUAUAAUUGUUGACAUUUUACCAACAGCCACUAUUUUAAUUCUAUGUUUAAAGUGUAAUUAUUUAGGGUUUUGUUUUUAUGUUUCUGUGAGAAUUGUGACAUUUUCAUGUGAAUUAUUUUUGCUGACAAACAUUAAUUUGACACCAGCAGAAAUCUCCCUCCCAUCACAACAACAGCUGGACUGAUGUAGAUUUUCAGAACGCCGUCAGUGGGAUGAACUUCCAAACUGGCAACGCAGUAAUCAUCCCGCCUUUCACAGUAACAUCCCCCUUUUCGUCCAGGUCUGUUGUGCUAAAUGUCUGUUUUCAGGAAGCGUCGCGGCUUCAGACUGAAGCUGUAGCAGAAGCGGCACCUGGCUGGGGACGUGGAGAGACAUCAGUCAUGGAAAUGAAUGCUCACCCAGCAGGGGGGCGGCUGAAAGCGCUGAUACUAUUGUUUUUCUUAGAAGGAGAUUUUCCUGUGAGUCUGAGUCAUUUUCUGCACAUGUAAAUGGUUCCUUGCAGAUUUAAACGCGUCGCAUUCAGACGGCCUGGUGUGGGAGUUACGAGUCGCAGACUGGAGCGUUCCUGCUCCUCCGAGGUCUCACUGUAUUAUCAACAGAUUUUAAUUUGACCAUUUUCCUUUAUGCUUUUGAGUUUGAAAAGAGGACUAAAAGUAAAUCAAUGAAAUCUAAAACGAUUCAGUAUUUUACGUUUAAUCAGUAAAUAAAGCAAAUGGACAGUUAUGAUAAAAACAUCGAUUGAACAUGUUUCCUCUGGUAAACCGCUCCACAAUGUUGAAAGUAGGGCUGCAUCUAGCAAUUAUUUUAGUUAUUAAUUAUUCAAUAACCGAAAUAAUUCUGAUGAUUAAUUCAUUAGUUGAAUAAAAAAAACA